rnacentral:rRNA from 1 species
AUUGAACGCUGGCGGCAUGCCUUACACAUGCAAGUCGAACGGCAGCACGGGUGCUUGCACCUGGUGGCGAGUGGCGAAUGGGUGAGUAAUACAUCGGAACAUGUCCUGUAGUGGGGGAUAGCCCGGCGAAAGCCGGAUUAAUACCGCAUACGAUCUACGGAUGAAAGCGGGGGACCUUCGGGCCUCGCGCUAUAGGGUUGGCCGAUGGCUGAUUAGCUAGUUGGUGGGGUAAAGGCCUACCAAGGCGACGAUCAGUAGCUGGUCUGAGAGGACGACCAGCCACACUGGGACUGAGACACGGCCCAGACUCCUACGGGAGGCAGCAGUGGGGAAUUUUGGACAAUGGGCGAAAGCCUGAUCCAGCAAUGCCGCGUGUGUGAAGAAGGCCUUCGGGUUGUAAAGCACUUUUGUCCGGAAAGAAAUCCUUGGCCCUAAUACGGUCGGGGGAUGACGGUACCGGAAGAAUAAGCACCGGCUAACUACGUG